ACGCCGGCCCGGUGCUGGAAGGUUAAGGGGAUCUGUUAGAGCAAUCGAAGCAGUGAACUGAGGCCCCAGUAAACGGCGGACGUAACUAUAACGGUCCUAAGGUAGCGAAAUUCCUUGUCGGGUAAGUGCCGACCCUCACGAAAGGCGUAACGAUUUGGGCACUGGCUCAACAACAGACUCGGUGAAAUUGUAAUUCCGGUGAAGAUGCCGGAUACCGGCGACAGGACGGAAAGACCCCAUGGAGCUUUACUGUAGCUUGACAUUGGGUCUUGGUACUACAUGUACAGGAUAGGUGGGAGGCUUUGAAACCAGGACGCCAGUUUUGGCGGAGCCAUCCUUGGGAUACUAUCCUUGUAGUACUGGGACUCUAACCAUAGGCCAUGAAUCUGGUCUUG
rnacentral:rRNA from 1 species